GUCGUCGUGAGGCGGGGUCCGAAGGAAGCGCGUAGCAAAGCCACGACCUGACGAACAGAAACCAGAUAUGAGGCCUACGCGGCCGGACGAGCGAGCAAAUGAUCGUGAAGUCCGCAACCGUCAAGGGCUGGGGUGCUAAAUCUGGCAGGGGUGCGGUGAAGGCGGUUGUGU
rnacentral:ncRNA from 1 species